AGUUCUUAAAGCCAAGUUUUUCCAACUGCCUCUGGCCUUCAGCUUGUGUUCUUGCAUGUUGUCUGCCUCCUCUGAAGACGUGGAACGCCAGAGCCGCUCUGAUCCUUCCCCAGCUGCAGGGUGCAUUGGCUCUGACCAUACCAGGUGGGAUGAGACCCAGAGCAUCUGGUAUAGGUUUAAUAUAGCCCUCCUGCUUACACAGAAUGGAUGUGGACGAGCACAGAUUUUCACCGAGGGCUUAUUCUGCACUCUGGAACUUGCUGCACCCAGCCUGGCUUGGGGACUUUGCUGCAGGAUCUCUGCAAGGAUCCUGGGGUUUCACUCCCUCUUCUUGCUUCCCAUUUUUCCUGAUGACUGGGAGAGCCAUCCCUCGGCGGAGCUGCAAAAGAAAUGAUGGGGCAGGGAAGGGGCUCCUCUGUCCCUCCUGGCCUCGAGAGGCAGAGCUUGAGAUGUCCACCUUGAGCUGCUGGGAAUGAUCUUCCAUGCCUGGAUAGUACCCAAGGAGGUGAUGGCAUCCUGGAGCAAGACCUUGGGCAACCCGAACAUCAUCUGGAAAACUAACACAGAAACCCUGGAGCAGAUCACCGGUAACUGCAUCUUCUGUAGCAGGUCAAAAGGAGGACGAGAAGGGGCCAGACCUGCGGGGGACCGGAUUCAAAUGACUUGCUGCCUCUGUUACAGCUUGUAUGUGUCCAGAGCUUGUUUGUGAGUAAUUAACGCGGUUGUCUUAAGCAGGGCCACGGAGAGCAUGAUUAAGUAAUUAAUAGUAAUUAAAGGCAUGUUAUCCACA